UACGUAGGGACCGAGCGUUGUCCGGAAUCAUUGGGCGUAAAGAGCGUGUAGGCGGCCUUUUAAGUCCGGCGUGAAAGGCUCGGGCUCAACCCGAGACGGCCGUUGGAAACUGUCGUUCUUGAGGGUCGAAGAGGAGAGUGGAAUUCCUGGUGUAGCGGUGAAAUGCGUAGAGAUCAGGAGGAACACCCAUGGCGAAGGCAGCUCUCUGGUCGACCUCUGACGCUGAGACGCGAAAGCGUGGGGAGCGAACGGG
rnacentral:rRNA from 1 species